rfam:Sarcophilus harrisii ctg7180002516121, whole genome shotgun sequence.
GCCCCACCAGCCCAGUGUUCAGACUACCUGUCCAGGAAAUUGCAAAUGUGUACAGUAGUCUGCACAUUGGUUAGGCUGGGCU